rnacentral:rRNA from 1 species
CACGUUUGACAUGUCUAGUUUGGUCGGCAGAGAUGCCUUCCUUCAGUUCGGCUGGCUAGAACACAGGUGCUGCAUGGCUGUCGUCAGCUCGUGUCGUGAGAUGUUGGGUUAAGUCCCGCAACGAGCGCAACCCUCGCUACUAGUUGCUACCAGGUUAAGCUGAGCACUCUAGUGGAACUGCCGGUGGCAAGCCGGAGGAAGGUGGGGAUGACGUCAAGUCCUCAUGG